ensembl:lncRNA
UUUUUUUUUUUUUGGCAAGAAAAGAAAAAGUCUUCUAACAUAUCUACUUCUCCCUCAGGCAUUGAGGAAUUUGCUCCCUGCUUCAUUUGCUUCCCUGCUGUGCUCUGGUGCAUGAUUCAGAGCAGACCUGUCCUGCCAUGUAUGCUUCACACCACUUCAACCCGACAGACUGAACAGUGAAGGAACCAACUCCAGGAGAGACUGUCCUACCUGGGGAGAUAUUUCUGCAGGGCUGCAAAGCUCUGCAUUAUCCCCCAGGUUAGAUUUGGCUUUGAAAAGCCACCCACUGCCUCAUAAAGGCUGCGCCAACUAUGCAUGAGCAUCCUCCAGCUGGAGACACUUCCUGGGUUCCUGGUUUUCACCAUAAGAAACCUCCACGUGAAUCUCCCCCAGGAGCAGGCUUGUCUUGCAGAGUCAGCCUGUGUCUGCUUCUUCCUUGACUUCUUCUGCUGGUGGGAUUUAUGGCGUUGGUACCCCACAGGAAGUGGAGAAAAGCUGUAAUUUUUUCAUGGUGCAAGGCACUGUACAAAUGCAGAAUGCAGGAAAACAAGAAGAGGCCAGCUGGUGCUGAGCUGGGUGAAUCAGCAACCACUCGCAUUUUUCUUGUAUUUAUUUUUAUCAUAGAGAAGGUUUUUUUUGUUCCUGAGUCAGGGGGAGACUGUCUAAAGUACUGCUGGUAUUCGCUUCACUACCUUCCUAGAAUAAAGGGACCAUGUCUUCAAGAUAAUGUUGAUGAAGAGCCAUAUUCAAGUUGUCUAGCUACAGGAUGCAGCUUUAGAAUCAUAGUACCUUCUCUGUACAGGGAGCUAUGA